rnacentral:tRNA from 1 species
UCGGCUUGUAGCCCUUUUUUCUUUUGAGUCCAGGAUUGUGAUUCCUGUUGUCGUGGGUUCGAGUCCCAUCAGCCGCCCCA